ensembl:snRNA U4 U4 spliceosomal RNA
AGCUUUGCACAGUGGCAGUAUCAUAGCCAAUGAGGUUUAUCCGAGGCACAAUUAUUGCUAAUUGAAACACAUGGGUCUUUGUGAAACAUUUCAGAUCCAAACCAUAGUAGCACCCUGAUAAAAGAGGCCAAGGGUACCAUCAGCUGUUUACACUGUUGGCUAUGAUGAAUAAUGUGACUGCAAAUAUUUGUGUACAUAUAUAUAUU